UAAGUACUGCCUCCGUCCAGAAAUACUUGUCCGAGAUAUGGAUAAAAAUGGAUGUAUCCAAAACUAAAAUACAUCUAGAUACGUCCAUUUCUUCGACAAGUAUUUUCGGAGGGAGGGAGUAUUCA
rfam:Triticum aestivum genome assembly, contig: Triticum_aestivum_CS42_TGACv1_scaffold_019135_1AS